CAGUCGCCGCGGUAAUACGGAGGGUGCAAGCGUUAAUCGGAAUUACUGGGCGUAAAGCGCACGCAGGCGGUCUGACAAGUCAGAUGUGAAAUCCCUGAGCUUAACUUAGGAAUUGCAUUCGAUACUGGGAAGCUAGAGUAUGGGAGAGGAUGGUAGAAUUCCAGGUGUAGCGGUGAAAUGCGUAGAGAUCUGGAGGAAUACCGAUGGCGAAGGCAGCCAUCUGGCCUAAUACUGACGCUGAGGUACGAAAGCAUGGGGAGCAAACAGGAUUAGAUACCCGUGUAGUCCCUGUCUCUUAUAC
rnacentral:rRNA from 1 species